rnacentral:lncRNA from 1 species
CCUGUGUGCUGUUUUUUAAGGAACCACUGCUUAUUAAUUGUUUUACCAGUUCUGGCACAGUCCUGGAAAGAGACUCAAGGCUGCAAGCCCUUCCAAAAAUCAAUGAUCCUGGAACCUCUGGAGGAAUUUGUAAAUUUGAAGGGAAAGUCUUUUUCCAUGUCCUGUAAUGUGACUGUGGGAUGCAAACACCAAAGAAAACACUGAACAGCUAUGAUGGGUAGCUACGAACAAGGAAGCAUAUGCUGAUCCAAGAGGAACAACUCUCAAGAUCUCAUUCCAGUUCCAAGGAAGAGGAUCAAUUUCUCAUUUUUUUCAGAUUUAGAAUAUUGAAUGAACCGGCUUUUCUUUCAAGAAAAAUUUCAUGUUCCCAAUUUCUUCUCUUCCAAAUAAGAAGCAUAAGCUAGAAGUUAUAUUUUUUCCCUUAAAAUAGUUUUUUAAAUGAUUUUGGGAAAACCAAAAAAGUGGUCAGCACAAAAAUGUUUGGAAUUUAUUUAAAAAGCAUAUAGUUUAGAGUUGACAACAUGAAAGGCAAUUACCUAAGAAUCCAUAUUUGUUCAUGAAACAUG